AGGGGUAUAGCUCAGCUGGUAGAGCGGCGGUCUCCAAAACCGCAGGUCGCAGGUUCGAGCCCUGCUGCCCCUG
rnacentral:tRNA from 1 species